AAACGGGGUCUAAUACCGGAUAAUACUUUCUCCCUCCUGGGAGAAGGUUGAAAGCUCCGGCGGUGAAGGAUGAGCCCGCGGCCUAUCAGCUAGUUGGUGGGGUAAUGGCCUACCAAGGCGACGACGGGUAGCCGGCCUGAGAGGGCGACCGGCCACACUGGGACUGAGACACGGCCCAGACUCCUACGGGAGGCAGCAGUGGGGAAUAUUGCACAAUGGGCGAAAGCCUGAUGCAGCGACGCCGCGUGAGGGAUGACGGCCUUCGGGUUGUAAACCUCUUUCAGCAGGGAAGAAGCGAAAGUGACGGUACCUGCAGAAGAAGCGCCGGCUAACUACGUGCCAGCAGCCGCGGUAAUACGUAGGGCGCAAGCGUUGUCCGGAAUUAUUGGGCGUAAAGAGCUCGUAGGCGGCUUGUCACGUCGGUUGUGAAAGCCCGGGGCUUAACCCCGGGUCUGCAGUCGAUACGGGCAGGCUAGAGUGUGGUAGGGGAGAUCGGAAUUCCUGGUGUAGCGGUGAAAUGCGCAAGAUAUCAGGAGGAACACCGGUGGCGAAGGCNGAUCUCUGGGCCAUUACUGACGCUGAGGAGCGAAAGCGUGGGGAGCCGAACAGGGAUUAGAUACCCUGGUAGUCCAC
rnacentral:rRNA from 1 species